rnacentral:rRNA from 1 species
UACGUAGGGUGCAGGCGUUAAUCGGAAUUACUGGGCGUAAAGCGCGCGUAGGCGGCUUUGCAAGUCGGGUGUGAAAUUCCCAGGCUUAACCUGGGAACUGCAUUCGAGACUGCAUUGCUAGAGUAUGGGAGAGGGAAGUGGAAUUUCCGGGUGUAGCGGUGAAAUGCGUAGAUAUCGGAAGGAACAUCAGUGGCGAAAGCGACUUCCUGGACCAAUACUGACGCUCAUGUG